UGGUGGGUAGUUUGACUGGGGCGGUCUCCUCCUAAAGAGUAACGGAGGAGCACGAAGGUUGGCUAAUCCUGGUCGGACAUCAGGAGGUUAGUGCAAUGGCAUAAGCCAGCUUGACUGCGAGCGUGACGGCGCGAGCAGGUGCGAAAGCAGGUCAUAGUGAUCCGGUGGUUCUGAAUGGAAGGGCCAUCGCUCAACGGAUAAAAGGUACUCCGGGGAUAACAGGCUGAUACCGCCCAAGAGUUCAUAUCGACGGCGGUGUUUGGCACCUCGAUGUCGGCUCAUCACAUCCUGGGGCUGAAGUAGGUCCCAAGGGUAUGGCUGUUCGCCAUUUAAAGUGGUACGCGAGCUGGGUUUAGAACGUCGUGAGACAGUUCGGUCCCUAUCUGCCGUGGGCGCUGGAGAACUGAGGGGGGCUGCUCCUAGUACGAGAGGACCGGAGUGGACGCAUCACUGGUGUUCGGGUUGUCAUGCCAAUGGCACUGCCCGGUAGCUAAAUGCGGAAGAGAUAAGUGCUGAAAGCAUCUAAGCACGAAACUUGCCCCGAGAUGAGUUCUCCCUGACUCCUUGAGAGUCCUGAAGGAACGUUGAAGACGACGACGUUGAUAGGCCGGGUGUGUAAGCGCAGCGAUGCGUUGAGCUAACCGGUACUAAUGAACCGUGAGGCUUAACCUUA
rnacentral:rRNA from 1 species